AUUUCAAUAUCUCUUCCAUAAUUCACCCCCCAUAUGCUCCCACAUAAAUCCCUUUCCUUUUAACUUUCUCUCUUUUAAUCAUUACACAUGUGAAACACUGAUUUUGACAAAAAAAAGUAGUACAAUAUUUUUGAGAAUUGGAUUGAACCGGAUUCUGUGGUGGAUGAUGAUUACAGUGAUGAGGAGAUUGAUGUUCAUGAUCAAUUCUAUUUGCUGAGUUUAUAUUCUAUGCUAUGUACUGAUUUGUCGUAACAAAGACUGCAAGUGGGUGUUGGGGGCGUCUUCUAUGAAUGAAUUGGAAAUUAAUGCUUAUAUGAGAAAUGGGUGUUAAAGGCGUCUUAUCCUUAUUCUUACUCCUUAUACAUAUA